UGAAAGGAGAAGGGUAGCAGAUAGGCUUUAAAGUGCAGAGACUGAAGGAAUGUAGGACCUCACCCCCAAAUCUGGGGAUGGGUACAAUUCCUCUUUCGGUGUCACUUCAUAGAAUCAUAGAGCUGGAAGGGACCCCCAAGGGUCAUCUAGUCCAACCCGCCACGAUGCUAUCCUUAAUGCUCUUAACAUCUCCCCCCCACCUUUACAUGGCUUAAAGUCACUUGUAAUCAGAUUUUGGUGUGCUUUUUUUGGUCAAAACAACUCACCGAAGCUUCCUAUAGUGGUCCUUUUGCAUUGCAAAGUCACAUUUGUUAGUGCCGCCCUUGUCAUAGUGUGGUUGGCCGGCAGCGUAAAGCUGCCUGUGAAGAUCUCUGAGCUCUCCUUCCUCAGAUUGGCAAAGGUGCAGGCUAUGUGUCACAAUUUAUCGCCAGUCAGUUGUAAAUGGAAUCAUUCAGAAUUCUCUUUGUGUUCCUCUCCCUGCCUUCUUUAACCAAUUUAAUCUGGAAAGUAUGUACUAUCAGGCUGUGCUAGUCACUGUCUCCCUUGCCGAGAUACCUUAUGUUGCUGUUGCCCUUUAUUAAUUAUUUCUGUGCUUAGCCCACCCCAUCCUGAGGGUUCAGGAUGGGUGGCAGUACUUUAUUCUAUAAUUUAUACUUCUAAUGAGACUUUUAGAAUGGUGAAAAUUAGAGGGGAUGGAAAUAUCUACUUAAACCUGACAAUUAAAAGAAUCCACCGAUACCAAGGCUUUUAAUACCAGGCGUCAAGCUCUUGAACAACUCCCAGUUUUAAGACAGAGGGGUUAUGUUUUGCUUUACAGCAUAUUUCAUCUCGGUUUUAAGGAGUUAAGAAGGCUAAGCUUUCCUGUUAUCAGUCAGUGUCGGUGCACGGCAGGUAUUUCAGGUGUCUCUCUGGGCAACUGGAGGGGGUCUGCACUCCUUGCAGCAGGUAACUGGUUUUGUUCCCAAUUAAGGAUAAGCUAAGGAACUACUGAAAAUGGGUAGCAUACAUGGAAGCUGCUAACCUACCGUAUGUCAAGAAUUUCUACAAAAAGACAAUGAAAUUCUUGAUUUUGAAUUUAGAAAACUUUGCAAACUGAUAGCCCCAUUCUUUAUGCAAGCUACGUAAAUACACAGAGAAAGGGUUUUUUAUAUUAAAGCCUUGGGAGAAAAAGAAAAGGGGGGGAUGAUCAGUAGCUAUUCAGACUGCCCUUUAAAGUUCAGCAUCAAAAGGCAGGGGGAAAGGAUGGCUUGAGAGCAUCAUAACUAAGUCAUUAACCCCUCACGUCUCAGGAAAAGCUGUAAACCUUUACACAGGCUAGAAAAAAGAACCUAAAUAAAUCUGCUUCAUGCUUUCCUUUCUCUUGACAGAGGGAACACAUGCCAUGCCCUUGAUUCUGAUCACCACUGCAAGAGAUGGUGUCUGAGACAUACCAGCUUCCCUUACACAUUUCAGACACCCAGUUUUCCCGAGUUUGCACAAAUUUCCGCAGCCAAGCAUGAAGACGGUGAAAGUAACACAUGAAUCGCCUCACAUACAAGAAUCUUGAGUUCUAUAACAGUUUUUUGGGGGCAAACCUUUGGUCUGAGGUGAACUCAAUAUUGCCCUUUAACCUGCAGGUUGGUCUUUAAUUGGUUCUUAUUGUGAUGAAAUAUAUUUUAAAGCUAGAUGUUUUGUAUUUGUGGGGUUUUUUGUUUUGUUUUGUUUUGCUUCAGCCUGUGGUUUUUUAUUUUAAUAGUUAACCACACCAAUACAUUUUUGAGUAAAUAGCUGAUGAUCUGCCAGCCAUUUAGAGGAGGAAUUGAGUUCUGAGAUGUAGAGCGCAUGCAUGCACAGGGUCCCACAACGAACCCGUGCCACCGCCUAAAUAAAUCUUGGGCAGCAAGACUAGGAGAUGAGACACAGCAGAACCACAGCUGUUUAACAGUAGACAGUACUGGGGGAGAGGAGAUGGUAGUUUCAGAUAUGUUCACCAUAAUUUCUAACCUUUAUACUUGCAAUGCAGAUAUCUUCACAGUAAAAUAAAAAGUUGGCUUUCAACACGCUUUGUUUGCCUGCUGUCCAAAGGGGCGUUUCCACAUACAUUUUCAUCACCUGAUGACCAUAAUAAAAUGGGUGGUUUGUAUGCAUAAUACAGCCAUCACAGAUCUAAUGGCACCCAAAACUAUAGUUGUUUUAAAUAGUUUUUAUGCUGUGACGCGCCCUGGGACCUUAGGGUGAAGGGUGGUUAAUCAUAAUAAUAUAGAUUCAGCCUUGGUGCUAAAUUUCCUUAUGUGCAAAUUGGGUGUUUUGACAUAAGCUUUUAGAUCCCACUUCAUUAGAUGCAUGAAAUGUUAUCCUCAGUUGGCAGUUAUCAGCCAUCUGAGAACAACACUUCACGAGUCUGUGGAAGAGAACUCUAGGCUAGAAUACCUUAUGCACAAUAUUGGUGUGUUAGUUUUUUAAGGAGUCACAAGAUGCUUCAUUGCAGACAUCUUUGCCUGAAUCAUCUCAGUAUACAGUAGAUUCCAAGAGCAAUGGAGGCACAAAAAGCCUGUUUCUUCAUGUGGUUGAGCUGGUUCUGGAAAAAAAAUGUUCUAAAGACCAGUUUAUGCAUUCUACAACCUCAGGCCUUGUUGCCUAGUUCUUUUAAAGUUGUCUCAAAAGUGCAUUCAACUUUGCCUUGCCUAUUUUUCAGCAUAAGCCCAAUAACUUCCAGUACAUUUGCCUGAAGGUGUAUUAUCCAGAAAAGCCCUUUAAAGAAGACAUUGGAACAGGCAAUGCAGAAAGUACCUCCUGAAUUACAAUUAAAUUCUGAAGUUAUUUAAUUUAAGGGGGAGGAGAGAUUGUGUCAUCAUAAGUUCUCACUACAUUCUCUGAAAACCUCGAGUAGGCUGUUGAUUUCUUAUUUUUUAUUAAGUAAAGCUGCUAUCCUUCCCUAACAUUGGAUAGAAUAAACGCUAUAAUCUGGCUCUGAAAGCUGUGUUGGAUGGGAGACCACCUGGGAACCAUCUGUAAGUUGCUUUGAGGUCUUUAGAGGAAGCACAUGGUAUAAGCAAUAAAUAAAUGAAGACUGUUUACGUUCAUA